rnacentral:rRNA from 1 species
GAUGAACGCUGGCGGCGUGCCUAAUACAUGCAAGUCGAGCGAACGGACGAGAAGCUUGCUUCUCUGAUGUUAGCGGCGGACGGGUGAGUAACACGUGGAUAACCUACCUAUAAGACUGGGAUAACUUCGGGAAACCGGAGCUAAUACCGGAUAAUAUUUUGAACCGCCUGGUUCAAAAGUGAAAGACGGUCUUGCUGUCACUUAUAGAUGGAUCCGCGCUGCAUUAGCUAGUUGGUAAGGUAACGGCUUACCAAGGCAACGAUGCAUAGCCGACCUGAGAGGGUGAUCGGCCACACUGGAACUGAGACACGGUCCAGACUCCUACGGGAGGCAGCAGUAGGGAAUCUUCCGCAAUGGGCGAAGGCCUGACGGAGCAACGCCGCGUGAGUGAUGAAGGUCUUCGGAUCGUAAAACUCUGUUAUUAGGGAAGAACAUAUGUGUAAGUAACUGUGCACAUCUUGACGGUACCUAAUCAGAAAGCCACGGCUAACUACGUG